GUGGUAUCUGUGGCUCCUGUAUAUAAAGAGAGGCAGUUUCCCUCUUGGGGCUUUCAUAUUGGAAAAUUUGUUGUUUGUUGUGGGAAGUCAUCUCUUAACUCUACUUGAAUGCAACAGCAGCUAGUGAUGAACCUUGAAAGACAGGCACUAGAGUACCACAUAUCAGAGAGCCCUUUGCCAGGGGUAGCGAUAUAGCUUCCCUGAGCAGAAACAGGGUUCCUAUCAAAGGGAAUACAUGUGACUGCUUCUAUGGAGCAACAAACCCUGUGAGACCAGAAACUGUUAAACACACUGAAUUGGAUGACUGAAGAAAUGCUCGUUUCCAGCAGUUAACAGUCGUUCCCUGCUCUCAUCUCCGUACCCAGAGAUCAGAACAUAGGACGAAACUCAGUUUUAAAAUCAAGCUGAAGAUAUUCCCCCUUCUUCUACAGAUAUCCACUUACAGUCUCAGUAUACUAAUUUUCUUGCACAUCUGUAGAAAAGCUUGUAUUUCAAGGGAACUUCUGGUAGGAGAGGAGCUUCACAAGGAAUAAUCUUCUUGCAAACCUGCAAAGACAGCAAUUAGUUAAGACUGCAGUGUUAUUUAAGAAUGCCUGGAUAUUUCCAAGAAACUGUAAAAAAGCCUAAAACAAAUAACAGCUUCAGCCAAGAGGUGCAAUUUCUAAAGCAAAAGCGACUUACUUUAAGCUUUGGAGAAACAUCUACACUUAAGACCCUUCUCUCUUUUUUUCCCCUCUAUGUGAAGCAUUUUUAUGAACUCGGCUCCAGCUCCCGUUUGCUCAAUGCUGAGGUUCCUGUGGCAGGCAGUGAAGCUGAGAGUCCACUCCCUUUUCUUUGCCCCAGGUGCCACCGAUGUUACCCCGGUGUCCCCAGGGAGCUUUGAACCAGGCUGGUGGGGCCCAGUCAGCACCAGAACCUCCUCUGCCUGGGGGCCUCUGGCUCUUCCCCCAAUUCCUCCACCGUUGAAAUCUGUACCCUGGUAAAUGCCUGAGGGUCAGGGGAAAAUAUGUUGGGGAACAGCUUUUCUCUGAGGAAAGGCUAACGGGAUCAGGCCCUAAAUUAUUAUCCUCGUGAUAUCUCAUAGAUCAAAUAACAGAGAAUGUGGAAGUAUAAUUAUACUCUAUAUGAUUUUAAGUUUAGAAAGUUAAUGCCCCCUGUUCUUUUUUAAAGCAGCUUUUAUGAUUAUUGAAUGCUGUAAACUGAAUACAAAAUAAAAGUCUGAGUUCUUUUCUUUUCUUUUAUUUC
rnacentral:lncRNA from 1 species